CCUACGGGGGGCUGCAGUGGGGAAUAUUGGACAAUGGGGGCAACCCUGAUCCAGCCAUGCCGCGUGUGUGAAGAAGGCCCUCGGGUUGUAAAGCACUUUCAGUGAGGAAGAACGCCUGGUGGUUAAUACCCAUCAGGAAAGACAUCACUCACAGAAGAAGCACCGGCUAACUCCGUGCCAGCAGCCGCGGUAAUACGGAGGGUGCGAGCGUUAAUCGGAAUUACUGGGCGUAAAGCGCGCGUAGGUGGCUUGAUAAGCCGGUUGUGAAAGCCCCGGGCUCAACCUGGGAACGGCAUCCGGAACUGUCAAGCUAGAGUGCAGGAGAGGAAGGUAGAAUUCCCGGUGUAGCGGUGAAAUGCGUAGAGAUCUGGAGGAAUACCAGUGGCGAAGGCGGCCUUCUGGACUGACACUGACACUGAGGUGCGAAAGCGUGGGUAGCAAACAGGAUUAGAUACCCCUGUAGUC
rnacentral:rRNA from 1 species